GAUGAAGAACGUAGCGAACUGCGAUAAGUAAUGUGAAUUGCAGAAUUCAGUGAAUCAUCGAGUCUUUGAACGCACAUUGCGCCCCCUGGCAUUCCGGGGGGCAUGCCUGUCCGAGCGUCAUUGCUGCCCUUCAAGCCCGGCUUGUGUGUUGGGUCGUCGUCCCCCCCGGGGGCCGGGCCCGAAAGGCAGCGGCGGCACCGCGUCCGGUCCUCGAGCGUAUGGGGCUUUGUCACCCGCUCGAUUAGGGCCGGCCGGGCGCCAGCCGGCGUCUCCAACCUUCUAUUUUACCAGGUUGACCUCGGAUCAGGUAGGGAUACCCGCUGAACUUAAGCAUAUCAAUAAGCGGAGGA
rnacentral:misc_RNA from 1 species